rnacentral:rRNA from 1 species
GACGAACGCUGGCGGCGUGCUUAACACAUGCAAGUCGAACGGAAAGGCCCUGCUUUUGUGGGGUGCUCGAGUGGCGAACGGGUGAGUAACACGUGAGUAACCUGCCCUUGACCUUGGGAUAACUUCAGGAAACUGGGGCUAAUACCGGAUAGGAGCUCCUGCUGCAUGGUGGGGGUUGGAAAGUUUCGGCGGUUGGGGAUGGACUCGCGGCUUAUCAGCUUGUUGGUGGGGUAGUGGCUUACCAAGGCUUUGACGGGUAGCCGGCCUGAGAGGGUGACCGGCCACAUUGGGACUGAGAUACGGCCCAGAAUCCUACGGGAGGCAGCAGUGGGGAAUAUUGCACAAUGGGCGGAAGCCUGAUGCAGCAACGCCGCGUGCGGGAUGACGGCCUUCGGGUUGUAAACCGCUUUCGCCUGUGACGAAGCGUGAGGGACGGGAAUGGGUAAAGAAGCACCGGCUAACUACGUG